rnacentral:rRNA from 1 species
CACGUAGGCGGGUCUUUAAGUCAGGGGUGAAAUCCUGGAGCUCAACUCCAGAACUGCCUUUGAUACUGGAGACCUGGAGUUCGGGAGAGGUGAGUGGAACUGCGAGUGUAGAGGUGAAAUUCGUAGAUAUUCGCAAGAACACCAGUGGCGAAGGCGGCUCACUGGCCCGAUACUGACGCUGAGGUGCGAAAGCGUGGGGAGCAAACA